ensembl:lncRNA
GGUUCAGUCCUCUAUAAAUACCAGAUACAGCUUCAGAGGCAAACGGAGGGGAAUGAGCCAGCUGGAUUUUCACUUUGGGGAGAAAAAACGUGAAACCAAGCAGCACCCAUCGGUUUUCCUCCCCAGCUCCAUGCCUGCCCCCUGGAGUGAGCCUCCUUGCUUUCAGCCACAGCUGAGUGGCCAGUCUCUUCAGCCUCCCCAGGCACCUAGGUGCGAGGAGGAGGGGCAACUCAAAUCCAAGUGGAAAACUGGCUGGUCUUCAACCGACUUGGAAGUUUAAGUGGCCUAGGCAGUCCUGAAAAGUUCCAGCAACUCCAGCUCAUUUAGCAGAGUGCAGCUUCUGGCUGGAAGAGCAGAGGAGGGCCAGGCUGUUCUAGGCUGCCUGUGGGGCAGGGCAGGGGGAGCCAGCACAGGAUGAUCAUGGGGCAAUAGCUCAGGCUUGGCCAAGCCCAGCUGCACAGGAGAACACGGUGACAUGCCAGAGGAGGGGCUACCGCCCGGUUUGCAGCCGGGCAGUGGGAGAGUCCAUGCCAGCCCCUAAGGAGAGCCAAACGCACAGGUGCUCCACCGCCCAGGCAUACCCCCAUCCAGAGCAGAGCCAAAGCUCACGAACACUCGCCUCCACUGUCUCCUCGCCAGGACGCAAAGCCAAUGGCUUUUAAAAACUAAGAAGGCCCCCAGGCCCAGCGCUUGGCCUCUCUCCAGCUCUCUGCCCUCUGCCUGGACGAUUUCACCCGCCACCUCCUUCACAGCACCUACUGUCUCUGUGCAGAUAUUGGUGGUAGUCUCAGCUGCCAAGACCCACCAGGCCCAAACUGCCCCCAUGCCUCAGACAAGGCCUUUGAUGUCCAGCUGCAGCCUAAACCCAGUAUUUCCCAAAGCAAACUUCUCCCUUGGCUUUCCAUGAACUUUAGCACUGGCCCGUUGGUUUAAUCCCUGGCUCCCAACUCUCCCUCCAUCGGUGACCAGGGUGGUCACUACAGCUUCCCCUGCUCCUCUGCAUGUCCCGGUGCCCCAUCGUGGCAGGCCUGCCAGAGAGGAGAUACCUACUGCCAUAGCGAGGGGACUUAUGAGCCAAGACUAGAGUCAGGUACCCAUGUCAGAACACAAGCCUGUGCUUCAGGAAAGGUCUAUGGAAAAUCGAGUCAUGGUAAUGAGGAUGGUCUCCAGCAAUGACCCUCAAACUUGACUGUGCACUCAAGCCACCUGGAAACUUUGUUUAAAAUGUAAAUCACUACCACAGGGAUUCUGAGGCACUAGACCUGGGGUGGAGCCUAGGAAUCUGUUUUUCAACAAGCCAGCAGAUGGGUCUGAUGCCAGUGAAGUCAAGGCC